AAAGAUGAAGACUUCCAUUAUACUCCACAUUUCAAAUUGGAAAGUGGCGGAAUUCAUGAUCCUUAUAUGCACCAUCAAAUGAAUGACAAAACCUCCAUUCGCACACAUGAUCAGCUACAAUAUGCUCCACAUUUCAAACUAGAAAAGGCUGGAAUGCAUGAUCGUCAUAUGCAUGAUUAAAAGAUUUCAAACAGAACUUAUGGAUGGAAGAAAGACGCAAGCAA